UACGUAGGGGGCGAGCGUUGUCCGGAAUCAUUGGGCGUAAAGAGCGUGUAGGCGGCCAGGUAGGUCUGCUGUGAAAACUGGAGGCUUAACCUCCAGACGUCGAUGGAAACCGUAUGGCUAGAGUCCGGAAGAGGAGAGUGGAAUUCCCGGUGUAGUGGUGAAAUGCGUAGAUAUCGGGAGGAACACCAGUGGCGAAGGCGGCAUCCUGGACUGGUCCUGACACUCAGGAGCGAAAGCGUGGGGGAGCGAUCCGG
rnacentral:rRNA from 1 species